rnacentral:lncRNA from 1 species
CUUUGCGGCGCGGGACGGAGGGGUGGAUCGAGCGCUCGGCCGAUCGGCUGCUUCGACUGCGCUGCCCGUUGCUAGGCGGUUUGCACGCAGUUGCCGUGGUUACGGCCCGCCUGCCAUGGAGCCCGACAAGAGAAGAACCAAAGAAGAUACCUGGAAAUCAGAUGAACUGAAGAAACAUCUUAGGGUGUCACAAUCAGAUAGUCAGUCUGAAGACAAGAAACACAAAGAAAAGAAAUUGCAAAGAGAGAGAGAGAUUCAUGACACGGUUGAUUACAAAGGAUACAGAGAUCAAGACAAAGACCGAGGAAAGACCAAAGAAAGGACGGGAGAAAGAGAAAGAUUUAAAUCUAGUGAAAGAGACAGGGAAAAAUUGCGGGAGAGAGAAGGGGGAAAAGAUCAUCACAGAGAACGAGAGAGAGAGAAAGUUAAAGAUAAAGAUGCAGAGAAGAAAAAAUAUAGUACAAGAAGAGAAAAAGAAAAGGAGAGUGAUAAGGAAGCACAAAGAAAACAAAAAAGGGAUCAUUUGAAGCAAAUGCUUAUACAGAGUGACCAGAGGGCUUAUGAAGGAAGGGAAAAGGGCCAUCAUAGAAGGAGAGGGAGCAAGGAUCAUUUAGAAGACAACACAAAAGCAAGAGAUGAAGAGAAAGAAAGAUGUCAUACAGAAAGAAAGGUAAACUGAGGAAAUAAAUUAAGUGUUUUAUAAUGGCA